rnacentral:rRNA from 1 species
UGGGGAAUAUUGCGCAAUGGGCGAAAGCCUGACGCAGCGACGCCGCGUGAGGGACGAAGGCCUUCGGGUCGUAAACCUCUUUCAGCAGGGAAGAAGCGCAAGUGACGGUACCUGCAGAAGAAGCACCGGCUAACUACGUGCCAGCAGCCGCGGUAAUACGUAGGGUGCAAGCGUUGUCCGGAAUUAUUGGGCGUAAAGAGCUCGUAGGCGGCUUGUCACGUCUGCUGUGAAAACUCGGGGCUCAACCCCGAGCCUGCAGUGGAUACGGGCUAGCUAGAGUGCGGUAGGGGAGACUGGAAUUCCUGGUGUAGCGGUGAAAUGCGCAGAUAUCAGGAGGAACACCGGUGGCGAAGGCGGGUCUCUGGACCGAUACUGACGCUGAGGAGCGAAAGCGUGGGGAGCGAAC